UUCCGGUUGAUCCUGCCAGACCCGACUGCUAUCAGAGUAGGACUAAACCAUGCGAGUCAACGCCGUAAGGCGUGGCAUACGGCUCAGUAACACGUAGUCAACAUGCCCAAAGGACGUGGAUAACCUCGGGAAACUGAGGAUAAACCGCGAUAGGCCAAGGUUUCUGGAAUGAGCCAUGGCCGAAAUCUAUAUGGCCUUUGGAUUGGACUGCGGCCGAUCAGGCUGUUGGUGAGGUAAUGGCCCACCAAACCUGUAACCGGUACGGGCUUUGAGAGAAGGAGCCCGGAGAUGGGCACUGAGACAAGGGCCCAGGCCCUAUGGGGCGCAGCAGGCGCGAAACCUCUGCAAUAGGCGAAAGCUUGACAGGGUUACUCUGAGUGAUGCCCGCUAAGGGUAUCUUUUGGCACCUCUAAAAAAUGGUGCAGAAUAAGGGGUGGGCAAGUCUGGUGUCA
rnacentral:rRNA from 1 species